rnacentral:RNase_P_RNA from 1 species
GGCGGAGGGAAGCUCAUCAGUGGGGCCACGAGCUGAGUGCGUCCUGUCACUCCACUCCCAUGUCCCUUGGGAAGGUCUGAGACUAGGGCCAGAGGCGGCCCUAACAGGGCUCUCCCUGAGCUUCGGGGAGGGGCCCGGCGGAUGCCUCCUUUGCCGGAGCUUGGAACAGACUCACGGCCAGCGAAGUGAGUUCAAUGGCUGAGGUGAGGUACCCCGCAGGGGACCUCAUAACCCAAUUCAGACUACUCUCCUCCGCC